AUCACAGGCUGUUUGGGUCACCUGUCUCUGUGAACCUCAGUAAAUGGCACAAGUUCACACUGGGGUGAAAUUUGGUAUCAGAGGAUCAUCAGCAAUAAGGGCAGUGAGCAAGCAGGGGUAAUCCUGGAAAAAUCGAAGAGAUUGAGGUGCGUGAUGGACAUUGUGCUGUGUUUACCUGGAGGGUGUGCAAGACAUGUGAACAAAGGCCAUAAGAUGCCAUGAAUUUUCUCCAACCUUCUGCUAAAAUGGCGUUGACUCUUACUAGGCCAUUUCUGAUGGUGACCUGAACUAGAAUGAAGUGGACAUGAACAAAAAAGAAGACCUUAGUCAGCAGACCCCAGUUCCUCCACCACUACUGUUUCUCCCCCAGCCUCAUUCCCUUUUUGUAUUACUAAGGAAAGUAUUAAAAAUAUAAUUCUGAAUUAAAA
rnacentral:lncRNA from 1 species